AGCGGAGGCGGCGUGCACGGGAAGCCACGAGACGAGCGAGCCCUAGCAGAUUCUCUGCCAACGUCGCCGGCCGAUUCACCUCCUCUCGGCCACUGCCGGAAGCCGCCUCCUCUUGCCGAGUAGCAAAUUGGAUUUCAAAAACCCGAGGAAAAGCAACUCAGAUGAAUUGAGAGUUGAUUACAGGAACGAAUUGGAGAGAGUAGUCGUGGGAUUCAAUGAGAACCUGACAUGUUUUGUCUAGUCUUAUUUCUUGUCGAAUGGUGUCAAAAUGAUCCAAAGUUAGAACUUUGUUAUUGUUGAUCCCUUAUGCAUUGUUGAUAAAUGAGAUUACUCUAUCUCGGUCGAAUUAUCCUACCCCAUAAUUUUUUCAAGCGCGAUUGUCUACACUUCCUUGUGUGCAAGUUAUUGCUUUUGAAUACUAAUACAAGAUGGUUAAUGCGAUGAAGGGCCUCCUGAUUUCCUGUGAUAUACCCAUGACACAAUUCAUCAUUAGCUUCAAUGCUUCACUUCCUCCUUCACAGAGGUUCAUCCUACACGUGCUUGACAAUACACACAUGUUUGUGCAGCCUCAUGUGGCCGAGAUGAUCCGAAGCAAGAUUUCAGAAUUUAGGGAUCAGAACUCUUAUGAGAAGCCACUAUGAUCCAUUUCGAAUUCUCCUUGUUGGCAAGAGAAAAAUAAUAUGCCCGAGAUUUGAAUCAAAACUCAUCUUUAAACUUGAUUGACAAUGUAGCAAACUGGAAUUUGUGAAUGGAUGUCUAUAUUUGGCUUGCUUGAUCUUGAACUCGAUGCUGAUACAAGUGAUUUGGUCCAAACCUUAUGAACUUGGUUCCAACCUUGAAGGCUUUUUGGAUCAGUGCUCUGUAUUACUGUGUUAUAAUUCUUUUUGUGGUUAUGGUUUUGCUCCAA